GAUGAACGCUAGCGGGAGGCCUAACACAUGCAAGCCGAGCGGUAUUGUUUCUUCGGAAAUGAGAGAGCGGCGUACGGGUGCGGAACACGUGUGCAACCUGCCUUUAUCUGGGGGAUAGCCUUUCGAAAGGAAGAUUAAUACUCCAUAAUAUAUUGAACGGCAUCGUUUAAUAUUGAAAGCUCCGGCGGAUAGAGAUGGGCACGCGCAAGAUUAGCUAGUUGGUGAGGUAACGGCUCACCAAGGCGAUGAUCUUUAGGGGGCCUGAGAGGGUGCUGCCCCAAACUGGUAGGGAGACACGGACCAGAUUCCGUCGGUAGGCAUCAGUGAUGAAUAUUGUUCAAUGGGUGCGAUCCUGAACCAGCCAUCCCGCGUGAAGGACGACUGCCCUAUGGGUUGAAAACUUCUUUUGUAUAGGGAUAAACCUACCCUCGUGAGGGUAGCUGAAGGUACUAUACGAAUAAGCACCGGAUAACUCCGUGCCAGCAGCCGCAGUAUCAC
rnacentral:rRNA from 1 species